ensembl:lncRNA
UGUGUGUGUGUGUGUGUGUGUGUGUGAGAGAGGGAAUGUGUGUGUGUGAGAGAGGGAAUGUGGAUGUGUGUGUGUGUGUGUGUGAGAGAGGGAAUGUGUGUGUGUGUGGAGAGGGAAUGUGUGUGUGUGAGCGAGGAAUGGUGUGUGUGUGUGUGUGAGAGAGGGUGUGUGUGUGUGUGAGAGGGAGUGUGUGUGUGUGUGAGGGAGAGUGUGUGUGUGUGAGGAAGUCUGUGUGUGUGUGUGAGGGAGUCUGUGUGUGUGUGUGUGAGAGAGGCUUUGUGUGUGAGAGAGGCUUUGUGUGUGAGAGAGGCUUUGUGUGUGAGAGAGGCUUUGUGUGUGUGAGAGGCUGUGUGUGUGUGAGAGGAAGUGUGUGUGUGUGUGUGUGUGAGAGAGGGAGUGUGUGUGAGAGAGGGAGUGUGUGUGUGAGAGAGAGUGUGUAUGUGUGUGUGAGAGGGGGAGUGUGUGUGUGUGAGAGAGGGAGUGUGUGUGUGUGAGAGAGGGAGUGUGUGUAUGUGUGAGUGAAAGAGGGAGUGUGUGUGAGAGAGUGUGUGUGUGUGAGAGGGAGUGUGUGUGUGG